rnacentral:rRNA from 1 species
GGGAUUGCCUCAGUAGCGGCGAGUGAAGCGGCAAAAGCUCAAAUUUGAAAUCUGGCGUCUUUGGCGUCCGAGUUGUAAUUUGAAGAAGGUAUCUUUGGGCCCGGCUCUUGUCUAUGUUCCUUGGAACAGGACGUCACAGAGGGUGAGAAUCCCGUGCGAUGAGAUGACCCGGGUCUGUGUAAAGUUCCUUCGACGAGUCGAGUUGUUUGGGAAUGCAGCUCUAAGUGGGUGGUAAAUUCCAUCUAAAGCUAAAUAUUGGCGAGAGACCGAUAGCGAACAAGUACAGUGAUGGAAAGAUGAAAAGAACUUUGAAAAGAGAGUGAAAAAGUACGUGAAAUUGUUGAAAGGGAAGGGCUUGAGAUCAGACUUGGUAUUUUGCAUGUUGCUCUCUCGGGGGCGGCCGCUGCGGUUUACCGGGCCAGCAUCGGUUUGGAGCGGCAGGAUAAUGGCGGAGGAAUGUGGCACGGCUUCUGCUGUGUGUUAUAGCCUCUGACGAUACUGCCAGCCUAGACCGAGGACUGCGGUUUUUACCUAGGAUGUUGGCAUAAUGAUCUUAAGUCGCCCGUCUUGAAACACGGACCAAGGAGUCUAACGUCUAUGCGAGUGUUUGGGUGUAAAACCCGUACGCGUAAUGAAAGUGAACGAAGGUGGGGGCCCAUUAGGGUGCACCAUCGACCGAUCCUGAUGUGUUCGGAUGGAUUUGAGUAAGAGCAUAGCUGUUGGGACCCGAAAGAUGGUGAACUAUGCCUGAAUAGGGUGAAGCCAGAGGAAACUCUGGUGGAGGCUCGUAGCGGUUCUGACGUGCAAAUCGAUCGUCGAAUUUGGGUAUA